UACGGAGGAUCCGAGCGUUAUCCGGAAUUAUUGGGUUUAAAGGGUCCGUAGGCGGGCCAUUAAGUCAGGGGUGAAAGUCUGCGGCUCAACCGUAGAAUUGCCUUUGAUACUGGUGGUCUUGAGUUAUGGUGAAGUGGCUAGAAUAUGUAGUGUAGCGGUGAAAUGCAUAGAUAUUACAUAGAAUACCGAUUGCGAAGGCAGGUCACUAGCCAUAAACUGACGCUGAUGGACGAAAGCGUGGGUAGCGAACAGG
rnacentral:rRNA from 1 species